UGACGAGCGGCGGACGGGUGAGUAAUGCUUGGGAAUAUGCCUUAUGGUGGGGGACAACAGUUGGAAACGACUGCUAAUACCGCAUGAUGUCUACGGACCAAAGUGGGGGACCUUCGGGCCUCACGCCAUAAGAUUAGCCCAAGUGGGAUUAGCUAGUUGGUGAGGUAAUGGCUCACCAAGGCGACGAUCCCUAGCUGGUUUGAGAGGAUGAUCAGCCACACUGGGACUGAGACACGGCCCAGACUCCUACGGGAGGCAGCAGUGGGGAAUAUUGCACAAUGGGCGCAAGCCUGAUGCAGCCAUGCCGCGUGUGUGAAGAAGGCCUUCGGGUUGUAAAGCACUUUCAGUAAGGAGGAAAGGUUAAGUGUUAAUAGCACUUAGCUGUGACGUUACUUACAGAAGAAGCACCGGCUAACUCCGUGCCAGCAGCCGCGGUAAUACGGAGGGUGCGAGCGUUAAUCGGAAUUACUGGGCGUAAAGCGUACGCAGGCGGUUUGUUAAGCGAGAUGUGAAAGCCCCGGGCUCAACCUGGGAACUGCAUUUCGAACUGGCAAACUAGAGUGUGAUAGAGGGUGGUAGAAUUUCAGGUGUAGCGGUGAAAUGCGUAGAGAUCUGAAGGAAUACCGAUGGCGAACGCGGCCACCUGG
rnacentral:rRNA from 1 species